GACGAACGCUGGCGGCGCGCUUAACACAUGCAAGUCGAACGGAAAGGCCUGCUUUCCCUUGUGGAUUGCGGGUACUCGAGUGGCGAACGGGUGAGUAACACGUGAGUGAUCUGCCCCCAACUUGGGUAUAAGCCUGGGAAACUGGGUCUAAUUCCCGAUAGGACUGCAGGGUGGUGCCUGUGGUGGAAAACGAUUUUCUAGUGGUUGGGGAUGAGCUCGCGGCCUAUCAGCUUGUGGGUGGGGUAAUGGCCUACCAAGGCGGCGACGGGUAGCCGGCCUGGGAGGGUGGACGGCCACAUUGGGACUGAGAUACGGCCCAGACUCCUACGGGAGGCAGCAGUGGGGAAUAUUGCACAAUGGGCGGAAGCCUGAUGCAGCGACGCCGCGUGGGGGAUGACGGCCUUCGGGUUGUAAACUCCUUUCGACCGCGAGGAAGCCACCUGGUUGGAAGGGUGGUGACGGUAGUGGUAGAAGAAGCACCGGCUAACUACGUG
rnacentral:rRNA from 1 species